UAUAUCUCUUAAUUCUUCCCGGAACUGCAGUACCUGAUUCUGGAAAGGCCAUAACUUCUUUCUUACAUCUGACAACUUUAUUGAAGAGAUGUGGGUGCCUUGUUGACUUGCUUUUACUGAAGGUCUGAGCAAUUCUGCUGCAUCAGAUUUCAGGAGAUGUUCACUGGCCUGAACAAAGUGCCACCAGCAUUUUUACUUCUAGAUUUCUAGAGAGCUUGACAUAGUUCCUUGCAAGAUCCCUGGAGCUGCUUCAUGUGAAAUAUCAUCCAGUCUCUCCUGAGACUAUUCAUGUCAACUGCAGCAGUCAUUCUGAUAGGUGUGCACAUUAACAGCAGGAAAGAGAAAAGAUGUGGAAUCCCAAAUA